GGUGCAGAUGAUGACACUGUUUAGCGACCAAAGUCUGACAAAAAUGAUUGCUACUUCAUGGUCUGAUGCACC
ensembl:snoRNA SNORD4A small nucleolar RNA, C/D box 4A